CACUACUCUGGCAUUUGAUUCCAGUAAUGAACUCAUUAAUGAAUUAAUUCAGUAGAGUAAACACACAGCUUCAUUGCAGAUGGUUUGCCGCAAGGCACGGCCCAUUUUUCGACAAACCCACCAGAUCCAUAAGUGUUCCCGUACCAAAAUAUGUGAAUAAAUGAUCUUCAAAAUGUUUUUUCUUAUGCAGGCAGUGGGAUUUUUAUGAACAGAAGAAAUGUAAACAAAGCUUUGCUUCACACACAAGUUCACAACAAGUUAUGAACCUGUGAACUCAGCUUUGAUGGUUCGGUUAUCUGUUUUGAGAGCAGCGACAUGAGGCUAGAGGAAUGCGCUAAACUGAUUGACAAAAACAGGACCUUUGAACAACAUGUUCAGUGUAUUCUGCAUCAUGGAGGCAUUAAUACUCAAUUUAGAACAAAUCUUUUUUUUCAUUGUCAUUUGGGAGUUCUUCACAAGGAGCCUAAGGAAGUCUGAACACGAAGAAGGCAACAUAUCUCACGGACAUACACGAGGGAAGAAAUUGGUGCACACCGGCAAAAUGACAUUACUGAAUAAGCAGUUCUGCACAAAAUGACUGCAAGCCUCGUAGCCAGUGGUAUCUGUGGAGCCGGCGAACGUAGUGCUUGAGCUCUUCUCCUCCACGUCUCCUCCACCCACAGUC